UAAGGAAUUUGAUGAGCCUUUCCUCGAUACAUUUUUUUAAUAUGAUCUUGUGCGCAUGACCAAAUCAUUUCUUCGUUGGAUCUGAUGGGCGUCAUGUCACGAUAAGAGUGGUCACGCCGAGGAUAACAAGCAUGAACAAUUGUUGUUGUUUAGAACAAAAUCUCUUCAAUUGAUUCAAGUGAAGGAGACAAACGCCGAGAAUGAAGAUCAGAGGUUCAAAAGAUCAUCAACUGCUUGAUUUCCUUGCAAGAAAGAAUAAAUCCUUCAUACCAUAUGGUGCCAUAAUCGGCUUAGGAUGAAGGUCUUUUUCUUUGUUUGUGAAUCGGGAUGAUUGGAAACUUGAUGGCUGGUGAAGACAGAUUCAGAAGAGCGUGUUUUGCUGCUGGGUCUAAAGCCUCUUGCUGUGUCAUCGGUUCCGGCGAUUCAACCUUGUUGGUUUUUGGAUCUCUCUUUAUUCAUGCCCGGAGAAAUCUGCAAAAGGAGUUAAGGUGGUGAUUCUGAAGAGUAGCUGAUUUCAGAGAAUCCAUUAUGGAUUCGAUCAUAGGUCAGCCAUGGUGGUGAUGGCGGUGACGAGUCCAAGACGAGUCAGGACUGAGUCGGGGAUGAGUCGGUGACGAGUUCAAUGCGUCUUCCACCUCCCAACUUGCGUGACACACGUGGGUCUACACAUGUCCAUUUUUGGCCAUCUGAUUAUCUUUGUAAUUUAUGUUUGUUGGACCACUAAUGGGCUUUUAUGUUGUUGGGUUUAUGUUUCACACCACUGUAUCUUUAC